rnacentral:rRNA from 1 species
CAGUCGCCACGGUAAUACGUAGGCAGCGAGCGUUGUUCGGAAUUACUGGGCGUAAAGAGUGUGUAGGCGGUGCUCUAAGUUCGGUGUGAAAUCUCCUGGCUUAACUGGGAGGGUGCGCCGGAAACUGGAAUGCUCGAGCGUGGGAGAGGAAAGCGGAAUUCCUGGUGUAGCGGUGAAAUGCGUAGAUAUCAGGAGGAACACCUGUGGUGUAGACGGCUUUCUGGACCAUUGCUGACGCUGAGACACGAAAGCGUGGGUAGCAAACAGGAUUAGAUACCCGCGUAGUCCCUGUCUCUUAUAC